GUAAGGAAUAUUGGGCAAUGGAGGCAACUCUGACCCAGCCAUGCCGCGUGAAGGAUUGACGGCCCUCUGGGUUGUAAACUUCUUUUGUACGGGAAUAACCCUCCGGACGUUUCCGGAGCUGAAGGUACCGUAAGAAUAAGGAUCGGCUAACUCCGUGCCAGCCGCCGCGGUAAUACGGAGGAUCCAAGCGUUAUCCGGAUUUACUGGGUUUAAAGGGUGCGUAGGCGGAUUAAUAAGUCAGUGGUGAAAGCCUGCAGCUUAACUGCAGAACUGCCAUUGAUAGUGUUAGUCUGGAAUAUGGUUAAGGUAGCUGGAAUGUGUCAUGUAGCGGUGAAAUGCUUAGAGAUGACACAGAACACCGACGGCGAAGGCAGGUUACCAACCCAUUACUGACGCUGAGGCACGAAAGCGUGGAGAUCAAACAGGAUUAGAUACCCGUGUAGUCC
rnacentral:rRNA from 1 species